rnacentral:pre_miRNA from 1 species
UGACUUCUGGAGCAGAGCUAGUGGCCUGAGGUCCCAUGGAGGCUUAGAGACCCCACCCACCAGCCCAGUCCCUGUUCCCAGAGUAGGC